AGAACGAACGCUGGCGGCAGGCUUAACACAUGCAAGUCGAACGUGUGUAGCAAUACACGAGUGGCGCACGGGUGAGUAACGCGUGGAUAUCUGCCUUUUGGUUCGGAAUAACCCCGGGAAACUGGGGCUAAUACCGGAUGGUUCCUACGGGAUAAAGAUUUAUCGCCAAAAGAUGAGUCCGCGUCCGAUUAGCUAGUUGGUGGGGUAAUGGCCUACCAAGGCGACGAUCGGUAGCUGGUCUGAGAGGACGAUCAGCCACACUGGGACUGAGACACGGCCCAGACUCCUACGGGAGGCAGCAGUGGGGAAUAUUGGACAAUGGGGGCAACCCUGAUCCAGCCAUGCCGCGUGAGUGAUGAAGGCCUUCGGGUUGUAAAGCUCUUUGGUCGGGGACGGAUGAUGACGGUACCCGCAGAAUAAGCCCGGCUAACUUCGCGCCAGCAGCCGC
rnacentral:rRNA from 1 species